rnacentral:lncRNA from 1 species
CAUAAGUCGUAGGAACCCAUUUCAAGCUAGCUUUAGCAGAGUAGGAGACUUUCUGGGUUUGCUUUUCUGGAUCCCUCUCUCCCAUCCCAUCUGCUUCCCUUUGAGCCACUUCGCUAUUUCCCAGCUCUCCACCCAGAGAUAGACACGGUGAGUCCUGCCCUGAUCUCCUCCCGUGAAAGGACAGUGCGGAAGAUGCUGAACUAAGGGCUGCUGACAUUUUUCCUCCUUUUCCUUUCAUUGCCCAUGGUCUGCAAUUACUUGUUCCACCCUUGGCCUUCAGAGCUGUGAGAGGGUGAGCAGGUGUUGAGAGCAACUUUGCUCUUUUUGAGUCAAUCCUGUUACAUGGAUAAGGUCCAACUCUCUCGGGGGAGCUGGCAGCUCCUCCAAGGCCAGACCACUGGGCAAGGCUCCCGAGAGCAGUGCUAGCCUGCUUGGUGUCACAAGGAGCUGGGCCAGGCCAGCUCGCCUCUGCCCCCAUGAGCAGGCUGCUUUGCAAACAGAUGUACAGAUAAUUGACUGUCAUAGAAAGACUGCAAAGGUGUACCAGGCUUGCAGAAAGGAGAAAAGAACUCUGAGCUGGGGACACUUCUGCCCCUCAGGUCUGUGCCCUCCUCCCAUCUUUCCUCCACCCUCCUGUGCUGUUGGACACGGAGGAGCCAGUUACUUGCCAGGUGAGAAGCCGAGUCAGUGGGAGGCAGCACUCCGGAACUGAAGGACUCCAUCCUCAAGGGCUGACCAUCCCAUCUUGUGGACCCCUUCAUCUCCAGACGAUGCUGCCCAGGACCUGAGGGUUCUUAGACCGCCCUCUCCUUCUGUGUGCUCCAGGUUAGUGCCACAGUCUGUAAGAAGCGAGUGGAAUCAGAGAAUAUCAGCAGCACAAGGGGCUUCAGAGACUGCCUCACCCCACUUUCUAAUUUGACAUAUGGAUAAAACGAAGUCCAUGGCAGAGAGAUGCCGAGUCUCAGGGCGCAUCACUAGUUGGUGACUAGCUUUAGGUCCUGACCCUAGGCUGGCAAGUUUGGCAUAGUAAUAGAUAAUAGCAAGAGCGCGCACACACACACACACACACUCACACACACACACACACACACACACANNNNNNNNNNNNNNNNNNNNNNNNNNNNNNNNNNNNNNNNNNNNNNNNNNNNNNNNNNNNNNNNNNNAGUGUUGUGUGCAUAUUAUCUUCCCCAUUUUAUGCUUAAGGACUGCAAAGCUCAGAGAUGUUAAAUAACUCGUCCAAAGUCACAGCUAGUGACUGGCAGAGCCAGAACUUGAACUCAAACAGUCUGGCUCUGCUCUUGACCCCAGCACAGUCCUGACAUACUAGCGUGCGGUCUUGGCUCACUUACGGUCCAGAGGAAGGAUCUCUAAUAAAUUCCUUGGCCAGAGGAUUCCUGGCUUGAUAUCUUACCCUUGGAGGGACAUUUCCUGAAACAUGAAGGUAUGAGGUGCUAAAGUAAGGCUUCGACCAAAACUAAAACUAAGCAAAAAUGUCCAUGGUCAAACAAAUGUGCAAAGUUGUAUUAAAACAAGUUAAACAGAAUUGCUUUUACCACAGAACUUCUCAGAGCCUUCAAUAUGCCAAUGGACACUGUGAAUUUUCUAAAAGAGUCUAAAAGCAUUUCCUAAACCUUUUGGAACAUAGAGCAUUUUUUCAUGCAUUGAUGUCAUCACACAUCAUGUGGCUUCUGGAAAACUCAAUCAAGUUAAAAAGGCAAAUUUUAUUUGAUGUAUUGUUAUGAAAAUAGCUUUGACCUCAAGAAUGCACUAAAAUGGAAAACAACUUUGACUCAAAGAUACCCUCCAGGGUUUCCUGGAACACAGUUUGAGAACUGAUGUCCUAGAAAAUAAUAUAUUAAAAGUAAGACUUGAGGGACACGAUCAUGGGCUAAAUAGCAUCUUGUCCUUGUGAAAGACAAGGAGAAAAACGAAUGAAAGAGCAUGAAUGUGUUUUAAGAAUCAGUCCUUCUUUCUACUAACUCCUUAUUUUCCCUUUUCUUUUGCUUCUCUUCCCUCCUUUCUUCUUUUCNNNNNNNNNNNNNNNNNNNNNNCAUAAAAGGAUUUAAAGUGGCUCACUCUUCCAGUAAGUCAACCUUCUUAUUGAUAGAGACACAUGGCAGAAUAAGUAAAGUGUUAUUUUAAUGAGGGGGGGUGCUGUCCCUAUCCCCCCAGUUCUCCUUGAUUUGCACCCCUAUAAAUCAACCUGAAAUUUCUAUCAUUAGCAUUUUGUUUGUUUAGGUAAAGCCAUGUCUUUCUAGAAAGAGGCUCUGGCUCAGAUAUAAUUUGGAUAUGGCAGGAAGUGUGACAUGUUGGGCUACACCACUUGAGUCUCUGCACAAGUGGCUCAGUUUAGGAAGGUUUUCCCGAAUAAGAAUCCUGAGGGAUCGGAACUCAGAAUGGGGGAGUACUGCAGCAGCUACCCUCAGGGGACCCUAGAAAGUGAGGUACCUAGUGAGAAGUAGCUGCUGUUUUUAAGGGAGAUGUCCAAAGGUACCUUUUAUUCAUUUAACAAUUUGGGGUCUGCCCUGGAUCCGAGGUCAUUGUGUGUUUCUACUAGACUAGAGUUCUUUGAGGACUUCCCUGGUGGCUCAGACAGUAAAGAAUCUGCCUGCAAUGCAGGA